rnacentral:rRNA from 1 species
GUAGGGAAUAUUGCGCAAUGGACGAAAGUCUGACGCAGCGACGCCGCGUGAGUGAUGAAGGCCUUAGGGUCGUAAAGCUCUGUUGAAUGGGAAGAAAAAAAUGACGGUACCAUUCGAGGAAGGACCGGCUAACUUCGUGCCAGCAGCCGCGGUAAUACGAGGGGUCCUAGCGUUGUUCGGAAUCAUUGGGCGUAAAGGGUGUGUAGGUGGCCAUGUAAGUCAGGUGUGAAAGCCCCGGGCUCAACCCGGGAAGUGCACUUGAUACUGCGUGGCUUGAGUACCGAAGAGGGUAGUGGAAUUCCAGGUGUAGUGGUGAAAUACGUAGAUAUCUGGAGGAACACCGGUGGCGAAGGCGGCUACCUGGUCGAGUACUGACACUGAGGUGCGAAAGCAUGGGGAGCAAACAGGAUUAGAUACCCUGGUAGUCC